UUGACUGCUCAUAUGUGCUCGGAUGUGAGAUAUUUCAAUUUCUAUAUGAUCAGGAUAAAAUGUAGUUUAUUUGGAUAUUUUGUAUCGAUUUAUGGAAUGUUAGAUGAUUUUAUAAUCGAUUUACAGAUUUAAUUGCGUAUAUUUGUAUUUAUUUAUUAAUUAUUUGAUCUUUUUGGAAACCGUCCACUCGUGACGGAGCAACGAUUUUAUUUCCGGAAGUUUCGAGAAAACUCACCUUUAGCCUAAUUUCAAUAUUCCGGACAUUUUUCGUGUUUUGACUUUUUCGAUCCGGAGUACGGUUUUCCCCGUAGUCGGUCCGGCGGAGUUUUUCGGGUAUUUUAAUUGUUGAUAAUUAUCUGGUUGUCUCGAUAAACGUGAAACUAGAUAUUUUGAUUCAUCCUUAUCUUGUAAUAAUUGCAGUGGGACCCGCAUACUAAUGACUGAUUAAAAAGCCCCGUUUUGAUGAUUAUCUUGAAAACCAGUACCGAUUGGACCCUGCUUUAUUAAUAUAAAGCUAUUAAAUACGUAUUUUCAUGUCAUAAACGAUCCAAAGGGGUACCAAUUAUUCGUAAAUAUAAAUAGACCUUUCUAGAGCUUAUUUUUACCGUAAAAAUCAUUUCACCAGUUUCUCUGCACGAAUACUGAGAGAAACCGAAGUGUGUUCUUCGUGUUCUUCGUAAUCAAACGAGGAUUUGGAGGUGUUAUUGGAAUCCGAUGGAGGCGUAUGAAUAGUCAAAACGAAGCUCUCGACGCGUAGAAUCUAGUACAAUCAUCCGUUUAUGUGCAGAUUUGUCAGGAUUUGGACGAGACGUGUACGCUCGAAGACGUCAGAAAGUCGGAAUGGUAUUGCAAAGCGAAUAAGGGAUGAUUGAGUAAGCGAAGCGAAGUGGCGAAUAGAGUAUAGCUAGAGAUGGUCUAGAGAUUACGAGAUGCAUAGAUUGUGAAAGUUGAAAGAUGAGGUUGAGCUAUGAAACUGGAGUCAGAUUUAAGGCAAGUAUCCUAAACCUUUCUCUUGGAUAUAUUGCAAAUAUUCUGAUCCAUUCCUUUGGUAUAUGUUUCAAGUAUUCAUACCUUUCUUUUCAAUGUUCGAAAGUGCGAGUAUUCUGACCUAUUCUUUCUAAUCUUCAAGUUUCUAAAGAAUUUCCGUUUUACAAAUUAAUUCGAAGUUCAGAUUGUCAUUGAAGCAUGUGUUGCUCAGUGAUAGUUAGAGCUUUGAAUGAAUUGGGAUCUUCUUGAUUAUUCAACCCGCCAUUGUCAUGCUGGUUUAGCAGGCUAAAUUCAGUUGCUUAGCCGAUAAUGGAGGAUACUGAAUAGUUAAGGAUUUCCUGAACUAUGAUUUAUGAAAUGACGGAUCAUAAUUUAUGAAUAGAUUAUUAUCAAAGUUUGAUUUGGAAUUAUUCUGUUGUUGAUGAUAUUUAUGAUGAUGUUCUGUUGAUUUACAUUGGCUUCUUGAAUUGAAUUAGAGAAUUGGAUUAUUGUUUUUAUAUAAACCUGUGGACCAGAUUCGUGGUCAUGUUAGGCCAAUGAGUGCCUUGGAUCCAGUGAUAGAGCAUGGCGGGGCCUGCUCGGGGUUAGGUAUGUCUGAUCAGCAUCCUAACCUUGGUUUUAAUUAAAAUGUGAUAGUCCAAUUCAAUAAUUCUUUUGGAAAGAUUGAAUUCCUCAGUGUUCAAUUGCUACAAGGUAUUGUGAUAUUCUUAUACAAUACCUAAACUCGUGAACUCAGGUUGAAUCCUUUUAUAUCUUGAACUCGUGAACUUCUGUUAUAUCAUUUCAGAAUUAUCAUUGUUAUUAUUACUUGCUGAGCAUUGUUGCUCACCCUUGCUAUUCCUUUCUAACCAUUUCAGAAAGGCUUAAAGUUGAGAUGAUUGAUUGAGAUUGUGGAUAAGGCUAAUGCUAGGCGAGGAGACAGAGUUGAGGAUCCAGUGGUUGAGGAGUGUUCAGGAAAGUUGAUGAGGUUGGUGCAAGCUAGAGCUGUGCUAUAGGGUUUCAAGUGUAAGUCAUAGCUGGAAUAGUUGACAGUGAUUCCUCUUAUCGAAGAUGAUCUGAUUUGGUAAGAAAUGCUGUGUAAUAUUAGUGGUGGAUUCUAAUUUCAAUACUGUAACCUGGAUGCGAUCCUGUUGUUUUAGGGGGUUGAAAUGUGCUCUUUCAAAUAUUUUAUGAUGGCUUUCAAGUUUUGAA